rnacentral:rRNA from 1 species
AUUGAACGCUGGCGGCAUGCCUUACACAUGCAAGUCGAACGGUAACAGGUCUUCGGAUGCUGACGAGUGGCGAACGGGUGAGUAAUACAUCGGAACGUGCCUAGUAGUGGGGGAUAACUACUCGAAAGAGUGGCUAAUACCGCAUGAGAUCUACGGAUGAAAGCAGGGGAUCGCAAGACCUUGUGCUACUAGAGCGGCCGAUGGCAGAUUAGGUAGUUGGUGGGAUAGAAGCUUACCAAGCCGACGAUCUGUAGCUGGUCUGAAAGGACGAUCAGCCACACUGGGACUGAGACACGGCCCAGACUCCGACGGGAGGCAGCAGUGGGGAAUAUUGGACAAUGGGCGAAAGCCUGAUCCAGCAAUGCCGCGUGCAGGAUGAAGGCCUUCGGGUUGUAAACUGCUUUUGUACGGAACGAAAAGCUUCGGGCUAAUACCCUGGAGUCAUGACGGUACCGUAAGAAUAAGCACCGGCUAACUACGUGCCAGCAGCCGCAGUAACAC